rnacentral:rRNA from 1 species
GCUUAACACAUGCAAGUCGAACGGCAGCGCGAAGGAAGCUUGCUUUCUUUGGCGGCGAGUGGCGAACGGGUGAGUAAUGUAUCGGAACGUGCCCAGUAGCGGGGGAUAACUGGCCGAAAGGUCAGCUAAUACCGCAUACGCCCUACGGGGGAAAGGGGGGGAUCGCAAGACCUCUCACUAUUGGAGCGGCCGAUAUCGGAUUAGCUAGUUGGUGGGGUAAAGGCCUACCAAGGCGACGAUCCGUAGCUGGUUUGAGAGGACGACCAGCCACACUGGGACUGAGACACGGCCCAGACUCCUACGGGAGGCAGCAGUGGGGAAUUUUGGACAAUGGGGGGAACCCUGAUCCAGCCAUCCCGCGUGUGCGAUGAAGGCCUUCGGGUUGUAAAGCACUUUUAGCAGGAAAGAAUGGUCGCGUGUUAAUACCGCGCGAUUGUGACGUUACUUGCAGAAAAAGCACCGGCUAACUCCGUGCCAGCAGCCGCGGUAAUAC